GAACAUAUGCGUGACAGAGUUUUGUGGGGGCUCGGAAGAAUUAAAAGGACCGAGGCUUGAAGGUCUAAAUUCGCAUUGCAUCAUGCAUACCCGGUAUAUACAUGCAUCUUCGCUGCAAGCUCUGUUUGAUCCAAACCGUGCCUUUAUUUCUACGCCAGUUUUCACUGGUAUACUCCCUUUUCCAAAGUAAAACAUAGGAGGAAAAUGCUGCACUGCCUCUCCCUCAAGUCGAAGUCGUCGUCGUCGUCAUCAGUGGCUUCCUCGGCGGCACCACCGCCACCUCCUCCUCCUCCUCAUUCCCAAGGGAAUUCGACGGAGGACAGUUCGAGCGCUCAACCCUCACCCACCGUCAACCUCACUCGCGAGUAUACCCUCACCGUCCAAACCAACUCCUACCACGAGAUAUGGUCCCGAAUUCAACCCACCACCGCUACAAAUUGCGACGAAGACUCCCACCACCAGCUCCUAUUGGCACAGGUGCUUCACCCCAACCGUGAUUGCGUGGAAGACGCCCUUCGCCACACCAAGACCAACACCCUCACCCUUCUUGUCAAAGCCUAUUUCGAACACAGCGAGAAAUCCACCGUUCUCUGCCUUCUCCUCCUCCAUAGCGUCAAUCGUGCACGUUCCCUCUACGCCCCUCUCCAUUCCCUCCUCGACGUCCUUCCUCUUCGCUCUGACUCCGACUCCCACUCUUCCCUCCUCACCCAAUCCCACUGCAAUCGCGCCUUCGACCUUUUCCUUGAAUUCGACCGCCUCGACAACCCUUUCCCUUGUCCUCAUUCCCACAACUUCAAUGACAUGCGCCGCUGCUUCUCCCAGCUCAAGCAACAGCUCGAUCGCCGCCUCCCCAACUCCCGCUCUCGAGUCCGCCUCCUUCGCGGCGCCACUGCCUCGUCCGCCGUUUGUUGUAUUUGCGCCGCCUUUGGGACCGCUGUUUCCGCUGUUGCUAUAGCCGUUCACACCCUUGUAGUCUUUGCUACCGGGACCCUCUGCACCGCAUCCCUUCCUCAAACUUCAAACUUUACUCACAAAGAAGUUGCCCAUGUGGCACAACUUGAUGCUGCUCUUAAGGGCACUUUUGUUCUAAACAAUGAGCUCGACACCAUUGAUCGCCUCGUUGUUCGUCUGCACAAUGCGGUUGAUAAUGACAAAUUCCUCAUUCGCCUUGGACUAGAGAGAGGCAGGGAGAAACAUCCGAUCGUGGAGGUAAUCAAACAACUCGACAAGAACCAGCUCAAUUUCCUGCACCUGCUCCAAGAUCUUGAAGAACAUAUAUGCCUGUGUUUUAACACCGUCAAUAGGGCCAGAGCGCGUCUUCUCCAGGAAAUCUGUCGUCAUCAAUCUUUAAUGUCGAGAGAUUUCAGACGUAGGCAAGAAGCCUAACUAGCUGCCAACUCUCAUAAAAACUUUGCAUACAGUCCAAGGCUAGAAGAUUCAACCUUGGAGGUCUUUAUGAUGUAUACAAAUGCUAUGAAAUCCAUGUAAAUCACAUAAUAUAACCAUGUACUUUUUUGAAGUGAUUUGUAAACUGAUUUAGGAGUCAUAACCGUGUCGGAGAAGGUGGACGUAGAGACCGCGCCAGAGAAGGUGAGCAGAUCUAAGAGGCUUCAGAGGAAGAGGAAGAGAAGGAAGGGUUUUCUUUUCACAAAAGAGAUUUUUCACUAAUUGGGAUUCUUGUUAUCACCUGUAGACAAGUAUAUAGAAUGAAAAAUGGAAUGGCUAUGUGGCAAAAUGUCAUUGAAAUGCUGUUAUUUGAACUACAGCAGACUGGCCGGUAGGAAGAUUUCCUCAGAUGGAAAACAACAGAUUUUUUGUUGUGCACCCGCCCACUGCAGCCGCCACAUGCCUCUCCUCUAGUCUGGCCAUCCACCAAUCCUUCACCCCAAUAUUCAACCUCCAUUUGAUAGGUGAAUGUUGCACACAGCGCCUGUGUCCCACACUCGUUCUCCUUUGACAGUUUCUCAACGCUUUUGCAUCUUCUUUUGAGAAGCUGUCAUUUGUCCUCUCGUUUGUCAGAAACAAACAUGUUUUAUUUUUUUUUUCCAAAAAAAUAGAGGAUGAGGUGCUAGAAGUUCCAUCAAUCUCUUUGAAGCAGUAAAGUUCAUUGUAAUCAUUACUUGCUGCAGAUUUCAACAUAGUAUUGCAACUUCGCUAUGGUAUUGCAACGAAAAUCGUCUUUUACAUUGGUCAU